GGAGCAAGACCAAAUAGGGGCGGCACGCCGGAGCUUGCUCCGGCAGGCGCGUUUCCGCGCCGUCGCCCGGGUAGGUCGCGCGAGGCGUCCGGCAACGGACGUCCCAGAUGAAUGGUCGUCGCCCGCCUCGGCGGGUACAGAACCCGGCUUACAGGCCGUCUGGCAUU
rnacentral:ncRNA from 2 species